AGUUGUUAUGAAAAACAAUAACAACAAAAAAGAUCACCUUGGCUGCUCUACAGAGAAAGGAUUCUUGAAGGAGGAAAGUGGAAGCAUGUGAUCAAUUAAGAAGCUACUGCAGCCAUCAAGGCAACAGGUGACAGCAAUUCCCAUGGGAGGCAAGGCAGGGUGGGGGUGGUACAGGGGCGGGGUAAAGGAAAGAGGGAACUAUGGGUUUCCGUUUGGGUAAACAGGUUGUAGGGUGGUGCCAUUUACCAUCCUCUGUCAGAGGGAGAAUCGAGUUUGGGACCAAAUGGGAAAAUCUGCACGGAAUCAUGAUCCCAGCCCAGAGAGCUCCCAGGCCAAGGUGCAAUUGCAACCCACCCGGUCCUUUAAGGCGAUGUGCCAGGAGGGGAUUGAACCUGUGUCCCAGCACUCCAGAGAUGCCGCUGAUCCUGUUGCACCAUAGAGGAAACUCCAAAAGCUUUUCUUGGCCCAAGCUGCAGGCUCUCAGAAGCUUGACAAACCAGCAUCGCCAUCUGGAGGACAGCAUGAGAAUCUGGGUGAAUAUUAUCCAUUGA
rnacentral:lncRNA from 1 species